UGCCUGUAAGACUGGGAUAACUCCGGGAAACCGGGGCUAAUACCGGAUGCUUGUUUGAACCGCAUGGUUCAAACAUAAAAGGUGGCUUCGGCUACCACUUACAGAUGGACCCGCGGCGCAUUAGCUAGUUGGUGAGGUAACGGCUCACCAAGGCAACGAUGCGUAGCCGACCUGAGAGGGUGAUCGGCCACACUGGGACUGAGACACGGCCCAGACUCCUACGGGAGGCAGCAGUGGUCAU
rnacentral:rRNA from 3 species